CAGCAAGAAGGCAGCAUCUAUAAGCUAGGAAGGAGGCCCUCACCAGACUUGGAAUCUGCUGGCUUCCUGAUCUUGGCCUUUCUAGCCUCCAGAACUGAACAUGGAUGAAGCUGGAGGCCAUUAUCCUUAGCAAACUAACACAAGAACAGAAAACCAAAUACCGCAUGUUCUUCCUUAUAAGUGGGAGCUACAUGAUGAGAUGAGAACAUGAGAGCCUGGGCAGGUUUUCUAUUCUCCUGAGUGGAACCAUCAGACUUUUCUUGAGGGAUUGGCCCUCUAGUGAAGAGCAUGGAGUGGACUGGGCCAGGGAAAGAUCCUCAGAUAAUCCUUACAUUGCCCAAAGGAACCAAGUGAAAUUACCAAAUUAGAAGUGAUAAGAGGUUGACUCUCUCCAGAAAUUUAUUGUAAUUAGAAAGAGGUAAUGGUGUCUAAAUAAGAUGAAAGAAGAUAUUUUAAAGAUGAUAAUAACAAAAACUACUAGAAUGAGGUGAAGCCAGAAAGGAAGAGUCAUAAUCAAAGAAGAGAGUGAUCAAGAAUCCAAAAUAGACAGAGAGAGCAGGCUCUUAGAGAAAUGGGAGAACUACCGCACUGACUCUGCACGUAGGAGACAGGCAGGAGAGGAGCGCCCCAGCCAGAGCUCAACAUGCGCAAACAGGAAGUGUGUCCGAGGUUUUCUGGAGCUCACAGGAGCCGGGGACCCACAGCCAGACGUUUAUCUGAAAGAAAAGCAGACAAGACAAACUAAAUCAGCAACCAUCCCUUUGGAUGCCAGCUGACCUCGGAUGGAGAUUUAGUGCUAGAUGUAAAAGGCUUUGUUUACAGACAAUUAAAAACCACAUAAAUUUAAAUUGUCAAAGAAGAAAUGGUUUCCAAAGCUUCUAACAGCCUGGUAGCCCCUCCUCAGCCCUGUGCAGGAAAGGCCCAGAGGCAAAUACAAAGCCACCAACCCAAAUGCCUGUGGAGUUUGCCAGAAAGCCAGAUCCUGCUGCUUCUGCUGCUUGUUACUGAUGUUGAAAAAUAAAAUCUUAUACAGCUUCAAA
rnacentral:lncRNA from 1 species